CCUACGGGAGGCAGCAGUGAGGAAUAUUGGUCAAUGGACGAGAGUCUGAACCAGCCAAGUAGCGUGAAGGAUGACUGCCCUAUGGGUUGUAAACUUCUUUUGUCAAGGGACAAAAUCAGGCUCGAGAGCCUGACCGAGGGUACUUGAAGAAAAAGCAUCGGCUAACUCCGUGCCAGCAGCCGCGGUAAUACGGAGGAUGCGAGCGUUAUCCGGAUUUAUUGGGUUUAAAGGGUGCGUAGGCGGGCUGUUAAGUCAGCGGUAAAAGCCCGGGGCUCAACCCCGGCGAGCCGUUGAAACUGGCUGUCUUGAGAUGUCGAGAGGUAUGCGGAAUGCGCAGUGUAGCGGUGAAAUGCUUAGAUAUUGCGCAGAACUCCGAUUGCGAAGGCAGCAUACCGGCGGCGAUCUGAGGCUGAGGCACGAAAGCGUGGGUAUCGAACAGGAUUAGAUACCCGUGUAGUC
rnacentral:rRNA from 1 species